CGGGGAGUGGCGCAGUCUGGUAGCGCACUUGACUGGGGGUCAAGAGGCCGCACGUUCAAAUCGUGUCUCCCCGACCA
rnacentral:tRNA from 1 species